rnacentral:rRNA from 1 species
AACCAACAGGGAUUGCCUCAGUAACGGCGAGUGAAGCGGCAACAGCUCAAAUUUGAAAUCUGGCGCCUUCGGCGUCCGAGUUGUAAUUUGUAGAGGAUGCUAUUGGGUUGCCACCGGUCUAAGUUCCUUGGAACAGGACGUCACAGAGGGUGAGAAUCCCGUAUGUGACCGGCCAGGCGCCUUCUGUAUAGCUCCUUCGACGAGUCGGGUUGUUUGGGAAUGCAGCCCUAAAUGGGAGGUAAAUUUCUUCUAAAGCUAAAUACCGGCCAGAGACCGAUAGCGCACAAGUAGAGUGAUCGAAAGAUGAAAAGCACUUUGGAAAGAGAGUUAAAAAGCACGUGAAAUUGUUGAAAGGGAAGCGCUUGCAAUCAGUCUCGACGGCGGCUGUUCGGCCUCUCUUCUGAGUGGUUUAUUCAGUCGCCGCCGGGCCAGCAUCAGUUUUGGCGGUCGGAUAAAGGCGUGGGGAAUGUAGCUCCUCCGGGAGUGUUAUAGCCCCGCGUGCAAUACGGCCCGCCGGGACUGAGGUCCGCGCUUCGGCUAGGAUGCUGGCGAAAUGGUUGUAAGCGGCCCGUCUUGAAACACGGACCAAGGAGUCUAACAUCUACGCGAGUGUUUGGGUGUCAAACCCGUGCGCGCAAUGAAAGUGAACGGAGGUGGGAACCGCAAGGUGCACCAUCGACCGAUCCUGAUGUCUUCGGAUGGAUUUGAGUAAGAGCGUAGCUGUUGGGACCCGAAAGAUGGUGAACUAUGCCUGAAUAGGGUGAAGCCAGAGGAAACUCUGGUGGAGGCUCGCAGCGGUUCUGACGUGCAAAUCGAUCGUCAAAUUUGGGUAUAGGGGCGAAAGACUAAUCGAA